UCCCUGGUAGUCUAGUGGUUAAGACUUCACCUUCCAGUGCAGGAGGCAUGGGUUCAAUCCCUGAUCAGGGAG
rnacentral:tRNA from 1 species